rnacentral:rRNA from 1 species
GACGAACGCUGGCGGCGUGCCUAACACAUGCAAGUCGAGCGGGGAGAAGAAUUCGUUUUUCUCUUUAGCGGCGGACGGGUGAGUAACACGUGGGUAACCUGCCUCAAAGAGGGGGAUAGCCUUCCGAAAGGAAGAUUAAUACCACAUAAUAUCAGGAAGCUGCAUGGCAUUCUGAUUAAAGGAGCAAUCCGCUUUGAGAUGGACCCGCGGCGCAUUAGCUAGUUGGUAAGGUAACGGCCCACCAAGGCGACGAUGCGUAGCCGACCUGAGAGGGUGAUCGGCCACAUUGGAACUGGGACACGGUCCAGACUCCUACGGGAGGCAGCAGUGGGGAAUAUUGCACAAUGGGGGAAACCCUGAUGCAGCAACGCCGCGUGAGUGAUGAAGGCCUUCGGGUCGUAAAGCUCUUUGAUCAGGGACGAUAAUGACGGUACCUGAAAAACAAGCCACGGCUAACUACGUGCCAGCCGCCGCAGUAACAC